rnacentral:tRNA from 1 species
CGCGCGAUAGCUCAGUUGGUUAGAGCGGAGGACUGUUAGAGUGCAAUCAAGCAGCGAUCCUUAGGGUCGGUGGUUCAAAUCCGCCUCGCCGG